AUCAUACUCCCUCCGUCCGGAAAUACUUGUCGUGGGAAUGGAUGUAUCUAGAUAAUCCAUUUGUAUCCAUUUUAAUGACAAGUAAUUCCGGACGGAGUGAGUAGAUA
rnacentral:pre_miRNA from 1 species